GUGCCAGCCGCCGCGGUAAUACGGAGGGUGCGAGCGUUAAUCGGAAUUACUGGGCGUAAAGAGUGCGUAGGCGGCUCGUUAAGUCAGAUGUGAAAGCCCUGGGCUCAACCUGGGAACUGCAUUUGAAACUGGCGAGCUAGAGUUGAGUAGAGGUAAGUGGAAUUUCAGGUGUAGCGGUGAAAUGCGUAGAUAUCUGAAGGAACACCAGUGGCGAAGGCGACUUACUGGACUCAAACUGACGCUGAGGUACGAAAGCGUGGGUAGCAAACAGGAUUAGAUACCCUGGUAGUCCACGCCGUAAACGAUGUCAACUAGCCGUUGGUCCUAUAUACAGGUUUAGUGGCGCAGCUAACGCAUUAAGUUGACCGCCUGGGGAGUACGGCCGCAAGGUUAAAACUCAAAGAAAUUGACGG
rnacentral:rRNA from 1 species